AGCGUUAAUCGGAAUUACUGGGCGUAAAGCGUGCGUAGGUGGUUUGUUAAGUCAGAUGUGAAAGCCCCGGGCUCAACCUGGGAACUGCAUUUGAAACUGGCAAACUUGAGUAUAGGAGAGGAAAGUGGAAUUUCUGGUGUAGCGGUGAAAUGCGUAGAUAUCAGAAGGAACAUCAAUGGCGAAGGCAGCUUUCUGGACUAAUACUGACACUGAGGUACGAAAGCGUGGGUAGCAAACAGGAUUAGAUACCCUGGUAGUCCACGCCGUAAACGAUGACAACUAGCCGUUGGGGGGAUUUACCCUUUAGUGGCGAAGCUAACGCGUUAAGUUGUCCGCCUGGGGAGUACGGCCGCAAGGUUAAAACUCAAAGGAAUUGACGGGGACCCGCACAAGCGGUGGAACAUGUGGUUUAAUUCGAUGCAACGCGAAGAACCUUACCUGGUCUUGACAUACACGGAACUUUCCAGAGAUGGAUUGGUGCCUUCGGGAACCGUGAUACAGGUGCUGCAUGGCUGUCGUCAGCUCGUGUCGUGAGAUGUUGGGUUAAGUCCCGUAACGAGCGCAACCCCUAUCCUUAUUUGCCAGCACAUCAUGGUGGGAACUAUAAGGAGACUGCCGGUGAUAAGCCGGAGGAAGGCGGGGACGACGUCAAGUCAUCAUGGCCCUUACGACCAGGGCUACACACGUGCUACAAUGGGAAGAACAAAGAGUUGCGAAGCCGCGAGGUGUAGCUAAUCUCACAAAUCUUUUCGUAGUCCGGAUCGGAGUCUGCAACUCGACUCCGUGAAGUCGGAAUCGCUAGUAAUCGUAGAUCAGAACGCUACGGUGAAUACGUUCCCGGGUCUUGUACACACCGCCCGUCAUACCAUGGGAGUGGGUUGCACCAGAAGUAGCUAGUCUAAC
rnacentral:rRNA from 1 species